rnacentral:rRNA from 1 species
GUCCUAGCCCUAAACGAUGAAUACUUGGUGUCUGGAGUUUUAUCCUCCGGGUGCCGUCGCUAACGUUUUAAGUAUUCCGCCUGGGGAGUACGCACGCAAGUGUGAAACUCAAAGGAAUUGACGGGGACCCGCACAAGCGGUGGAGCAUGUGGUUUAAUUCGACGCAACGCGAAGAACCUUACCUGGACUAGAAUGUGAGGGAAGGACUUCUAAUAGAGUCCGUCCGGGCAACCGGACCCAAAACAGGUGCUGCAUGGCUGUCGU